rnacentral:rRNA from 1 species
UACGUAGGGAGCAAGCGUUGUGCGGAAUCAUUGGGCGUAAAGCGCGCGUAGGUGGCUUCGUAAGUCCGUUGUGAAAGUCAAAGGCUCAACCUUUGAAAGCCGAUGGAUACUGCGGAGCUAGAGUACGGAAGAGGCGAGUGGAAUUCCUGGUGUAGCGGUGGAAUGCGCAGAUAUCAGGAGGAACACCAAUAGCGAAGGCAGCUCGCUGGGACGUUACUGACACUGAGGCGCGAAAGCGUGGGGAGCGAACAGG